GACGAACGCUGGCGGCGUGCUUAACACAUGCAAGUCGAGCGGAAAGGCCCUACGGGGUACUCGAGCGGCGAACGGGUGAGUAACACGUGAGUAAUCUGCCCUUGGCUUUGGGAUAACUACCGGAAACGGUGGCUAAUACCGGAUACGACAACCGUCUGCAUGGGCUGGUUGUGGAAAGUUUUUUCGGCCAGGGAUGUGCUCGCGGCCUAUCAGCUUGUUGGUGGGGUAAUGGCCUACCAAGGCUUCGACGGGUAGCCGGCCUGAGAGGGUGACCGGCCACACUGGGACUGAGACACGGCCCAGACUCCUACGGGAGGCAGCAGUGGGGAAUAUUGGACAAUGGGCGGAAGCCUGAUCCAGCAACGCCGCGUGAGGGAUGACGGCCUUCGGGUUGUAAACCUCUUUCAGUACCGACGAAGCGCCGAUGAUGGUGGUGACGGUAGGUACAGAAGAAGCACCGGCCAACUACGUG
rnacentral:rRNA from 1 species